rnacentral:rRNA from 1 species
GAUGAACGCUAGCGGCAGGCUUAACACAUGCAAGUCGAGGGGUAACAGGGAUUGCUUGCAAUUUGCUGACGACCGGCGCACGGGUGCGUAACGCGUAUAGAACCUACCUUAAACAUAGGGAUAGCCCAUGGAAACGUGGAUUAAUACCUUAUAGUGUUAUUUAGUUGCAUGAUUAAAUAAUUAAAGAUUUAUCGGUUUAAGAUGGCUAUGCGUUCUAUUAGUUAGUUGGUAAGGUAACGGCUUACCAAGACAUCGAUAGAUAGGGGUCCUGAGAGGGAGAUCCCCCACACUGGUACUGAGACACGGACCAGACUCCUACGGGAGGCAGCAGUGAGGAAUAUUGGUCAAUGGAGGCAACUCUGAACCAGCCAUGCCGCGUGAAGGAUGACUGCCCUAUGGGUUGUAAACUUCUUUUAUAUGGGAAGAACUACAGAUACGUGUAUUUGUUUGACGGUACCAUACGAAUAAGGACCGGCUAACUCCG